rnacentral:rRNA from 1 species
CCUACGGGGUGCAGCAGUGAGGAAUAUUGGUCAAUGGUCGGGAGACUGAACCAGCCAAGCCGCGUGAGGGAUGAAGGUACAGAGUAUCGUAACCUCUUUUGUCAGGGCACAAAGGCGGGGAGGUGUCCCCGGAUGAGUGUACCUGAAGAAAAAGCAUCGGCUAACGACGUGCCAGCAGCCGCGGUAAUACGGAGGAUGCGAGCGUUAUCCGGAUUUAGUGGGUUUAAAGGGUGCGCAGGCGGUCUGUUAAGUCAGCGGUAAAAGCCCGGGGCACAACCCCGGCCCGCAGUUGAGACUGGCAGUCUCGAGUUGGAGAGAGGUAUGCGGAAUGCGCGGUGUAGCAGUGAAAUGCAUAGAUAUCGCGCAGAACUCCGGUUGCGAAGGCAGCAUGCCGGCUCCACACUGACGCUGAGGCACGAAAGCGUGGGUAUCGAACAGGAUUAGAUACCCGUGUAGUC